rnacentral:misc_RNA from 1 species
GAUGAAGAACGCAGUGAAAUGCGAUAGGUAAUGUGAAUUGCAGAAUUCAGUGAAUCAUCGAAUCUUUGAACGCACAUUGCGCCCUGUGGUAUUCCGCAGGGCAUGCCUGUUCGAGCGUCAUUUCAACCCUCAAGCUCUGCUUGGUGUUGGGCCCUGCCCGCUGCGGCCGGCCCUAAAGACAGUGGCGGUGCCGCCUGGCCCUGAGCGUAGUACAUCUCUCGCUCCAGUGCCCGGUGGUAGCCUGCCAGAACCCCAACUCUCGUGGUUGACCUCGGAUCAGGUAGGGAUACCCGCUGAACUUAAGCAUAUCAAUAAGCGGAGGA